UGGGGAAUAUUGGACAAUGGGCGAAAGCCUGAUCCAGCCAUGCCGCGUGUGUGAAGAAGGUCUUCGGAUUGUAAAGCACUUUAAGUUGGGAGGAAGGGCAGUAAGCGAAUACCUUGCUGUCUUGACGUUACCGACAGAAUAAGCACCGGCUAACUCUGUGCCAGCAGCCGCGGUAAUACAGUGGGCGCAAGCGUUAAUCGGAAUUACUGGGCGUAAAGCGCGCGUAGGUGGUUCGUUAAGUUGAAUGUGAAAGCCCCGGGCUCAACCUGGGAACUUGAUCUAGAACUGGCGAGCUAGGGUAGGGCAGAGGGUGGUGGAAUUUCCUGUGUAGCGGUGAAAUGCGUAGGUAUAGGAAGGAACACCCGUGGCGAAGGCGACCACCUGGGCUCAUACUGACACUGGGGUGCGAAAGCGUGGGGGGCAAACCGG
rnacentral:rRNA from 1 species